rnacentral:rRNA from 1 species
AGUGAACGCUGGCGGUAGGCCUAACACAUACAAGUCGAACGGCAGCACAAGGGAGCUUGCUCCCUGGGUGGCGAGUGGCGGACGGGUGAGGAAUACAUCGGAAUCUACCUUGUCGUGGGGGAUAACCUCGGGAAACCGGGACUAAUACCGCAUACGACCUCGGUGAAGUAGGGAGUCGCAGACCUUACGCGAUUGGAUGA